GGACUACCCGGGUAUCUAAUCCUGUUUGCUCCCCACGCUUUCGUGCCUGAGUGUCAGUGCUGAUCCAGGGUGCCGCCUUCGCCACUGGUGUUCCUCCCGAUCUCUACGCAUUUCACCGCUACACCGGGAAUUCCACACCCCUCUAUCGCACUCUAGCUUGCCAGUAUCCACUGCCAUUCCCAGGUUGAGCCCGGGGCUUUCACAGCAGACUUAACAAACCACCUACGCACGCUUUACGCCCAGUAAUUCCGAGUAACGCUUGCACCCUUCGUAUUACCGCGGCUGCUGGCAC
rnacentral:rRNA from 2 species